ACGUAGGGGGCGAGCGUUAUUCGGAAUUACUGGGCGUAAAGGGCAUGUAGGCGGCCCUUCAAGUGGCGUGUCAAAGUCCAGUGCUCAACGCUGGGUGUGCGCGCGAUACUGACGGGCUUGAGGGCUGGAGAGGUGAGCGGAAUUCCCGGUGGAGUGGUAAAAUGCGUAGAGAUCGGGAGGAACACCGGCGGCGAAGGCGGCUCACUGGACGGUUACUGACGCUAAGAUGCGAAAGCGUGGGGAGCAAACAG
rnacentral:rRNA from 1 species